rnacentral:rRNA from 1 species
AUGCAUCCGACCGGCGUCGGACCCGAGGCCGAUUUGCCAUCACGCAGCAAUGAUGAGCCGAUCGCUGCGGCGGGAUCUUCUGCGGCUUCUGCACAUGGGCAGUCGCUGCCACUUGCCACAGAAAAUCCAAGCGGGACAGAAACUGCUGCUGCUGUGCGCGGAUCCUCCUCGGGAUCGGCUCCUACAGAAACUCAUGUUCAAGCUGCAGGAUCAUCUGUGGCUGAAAAUCUGGGCACCUCUCCUCGGCGCACACGACUACAAAAGGGAGUAAUACAACCUGUUAAUUACAAACGUGUAACAAAAUAUGGCAUGCUUUGUUCUACACGUGAACCAGGUGAACCUCAUACUCUAGAAGAGGCACUUGGUGAUGAGAAAUGGAAGAAAGCGAUGAAUGAAGAGUACAUAGCCUUAAAGAAAAACAAGACAUGGCACUUAGUUCCUCCACAACAAGGUAAAAAUUUAAUUGAUUGCAAGUGGGUAUUCAGGAUCAAGAGAAAGUCUGAUGGAACUAUUGAUCGUUACAAAGCUAGACUCGUUGCAAAAGGAUUUAAACAACGGUAUGGUAUUGACUAUGAGGAUACUUUUAGUCCAGUUGUUAAAGCUGAAACCAUCCGUCUUGUUUUGUCUAUUGUUGUUUCUAGGGGCUGGAGUCUCAGACAGUUAGACGUUCAGAACGCGUUUCUUCACGGUGUUCUGGAAGAGGAAGUGUACAUGAAGCAACCUCCUGGGUUUGAAAGCAAAAAUUCCCCCUCUUAUGUGUGUAAACUGGACAAGGCACUUUAUGGAUUGAAGCAAGCACCGAGAGCAUGGUACUCUCGUCUCUGUCAUAAAAUGCAAGCACUUGGUUUUAUUCCAUCAAAAUUUACAACAAGUCCAACACAUGCAUAUUUGUUUUGA